UAUGGAGAGUUUGAUCCUGGCUCAGAGUGAACGCUGGCGGCGUGCCUAAUACAUGCAAGUCGAACGAUGAAGCUUCUAGCUUGCUAGAAUGCUGAUUAGUGGCGCACGGGUGAGUAACGCAUAGGUUAUGUGCCUCUUAGUUUGGGAUAGCCAUUGGAAACGAUGAUUAAUACCAGAUACUCCCUACGGGGGAAAGAUUUAUCGCUAAGAGAUCAGCCUAUGUCCUAUCAGCUUGUUGGUAAGGUAAUGGCUUACCAAGGCUAUGACGGGUAUCCGGCCUGAGAGGGUGAACGGACACACUGGAACUGAGACACGGUCCAGACUCCUACGGGAGGCAGCAGUAGGGAAUAUUGCUCAAUGGGGGAAACCCUGAAGCAGCAACGCCGCGUGGAGGAUGAAGGUUUUAGGGUUGUAAACUCCUUUUGUUAGAGAAGAUAAUGACGGUAUCUAACGAAUAAGCACCGGCUAACUCCGUGCCAGCAGCCGCGGUAAUACGGAGGGUGCAAGCGUUACUCGGAAUCACUGGGCGUAAAGAGCGCGUAGGCGGGAUAGUCAGUCAGGUGUGAAAUCCUAUGGCUUAACCAUAGAACUGCAUUUGAAACUACUAUUCUAGAGUGUGGGAGAGGUAGGUGGAAUUCUUGGUGUAGGGGUAAAAUCCGUAGAGAUCAAGAGGAAUACUCAUUGCGAAGGCGACCUGCUGGAACAUUACUGACGCUGAUUGCGCGAAAGCGUGGGGAGCAAACAGGAUUAGAUACCCUGGUAGUCCACGCCCUAAACGAUGGAUGCUAGUUGUUGGAGGGCUUAGUCUCUCCAGUAAUGCAGCUAACGCAUUAAGCAUCCCGCCUGGGGAGUACGGUCGCAAGAUUAAAACUCAAAGGAAUAGACGGGGACCCGCACAAGCGGUGGAGCAUGUGGUUUAAUUCGAAGAUACACGAAGAACCUUACCUAGGCUUGACAUUGAGAGAAUCCGCUAGAAAUAGUGGAGUGUCUAGCUUGCUAGACCUUGAAAACAGGUGCUGCACGGCUGUCGUCAGCUCGUGUCGUGAGAUGUUGGGUUAAGUCCCGCAACGAGCGCAACCCCCUUUCUUAGUUGCUAACAGGUUAUGCUGAGAACUCUAAGGAUACUGCCUCCGUAAGGAGGAGGAAGGUGGGGACGACGUCAAGUCAUCAUGGCCCUUACGCCUAGGGCUACACACGUGCUACAAUGGGGUGCACAAAGAGAAGCAAUACUGCGAAGUGGAGCCAAUCUUCAAAACACCUCUCAGUUCGGAUUGUAGGCUGCAACUCGCCUGCAUGAAGCUGGAAUCGCUAGUAAUCGCAAAUCAGCCAUGUUGCGGUGAAUACGUUCCCGGGUCUUGUACUCACCGCCCGUCACACCAUGGGAGUUGUGUUUGCCUUAAGUCAGGAUGCUAAAUUGGCUACUGCCCACGGCACACACAGCGACUGGGGUGAAGUCGUAACAAGGUAACCGUAGGUGAACCUGCGGUUGGAUCACCUCCUU
rnacentral:rRNA from 1 species